AAGAUCAGUCCUGGGGACAGGGGGCGGCCCCUCGGGGGGCGGGGCCGGUCGAUCUGCUCUGGCUCCGACGCCCUAGGCCUGCCCGGGCAGGGGUCUGCCUGCGCCUAGUGUUACAGCUGUACCUCCCGCAGUUUGCGCCGGGCCCCUGGAUGGCAGCCUGUAAAAAUACCACCUAAAGAAAAGUGACUCUCCUUGUGUCAAUGCCCUCGAGUGGCUGUAGGGCCAUCUGCAUGGUGGUUGUGGGGUCUAGCUGCUUUCGUAGCAGCUGUGGCUAUUCUGCUGGCUGUAGUGGGCCACCCACAUGGAAGUGGUGUUUGUGGCGUGAUUCUUCUCUGGUUGAGGAGGAGGGGUCAGUCUCCGGCUCCAUACCUCAUGACCCCCGAGGGGCCCCGUGGCAGAGUGGUGUACUUAUCAACCAAUUUAUAAACAAAUGGAUGCAAGAGUAAUGCAGGCUCAUUCCAGAAAGAUUUAAAAGUUUGGGAGAAAAGGCCAUGUGAGGACACUACAAGAAAGCAGCCAUCUGCAACGUAGGAAAGCCCUCACCAGAAACUGAACCUGACAGCAACUUGAUCUUGGACUCCAGCCUCCAGGACUUGGAGAAAAUAAAUUUCACACACCCAGUCUAUGGCAUUGUGUCAUGGCAAUAUAAGCAGACUAAUACAUUUUUCUACAUCAUACCAGAGCACUAACUAAGUUCAAGAAUCUAUACCAUUUGCCAAACUCACCUAUGAUAUAGGACGCAGGAUCAAAUUGGUCUCUGGGGCUAGAGAGAGUGGGAAUGAGCCAUGUCAGUGCUGCACUCUUCUCACAGUACUGGUCCUGAAUAAAACCCCUGAUCUGAGCAUAGUAGGGCUUUCCAUCUUGCUCAUCAAUCACAGAGACAACAUCGCCAAUUUGGAAAUAUACUCCCUGGGAAAACAGAAGAUAAUUCCAUAUUUAAAAUAAAAAUAGAACAGCACCUCAGCACUGAACGAAACUUCCUCAAUAUGAAAACAAAUUUUCAAAGUGGUCAAUAAAAGUUCUCCAAGAUGGUCUAAUGUAUCAAUGUUUAAAAAAAAUAUAUAGGAGAGUUCUGGUCAAGAUGGUGAAAUAGACGAUCCCCAGGGUCAGUCUCUCCCACAAAUCAACCAAUUUACAACUAUAAAAAUGUAACAAAGCCAAGCUGGGGCCACUGGAGCUCAGGGGAAGAGGAGGAGAGACCUAUGGAGUCCAUGAUGGUGGGAGAAACCACGACAUGAGAGAAAAAAAAAAUGCUCGGAGCAUUUCAUGCUGCUGCCGCUUUAGGACUAGAACUGCUGAGCACAAGGAGCAGGAGCUGGCUUCUGCCACAGCUGUGCCUUUCAGAUGGCGUUGCUUGGAGGUGGCAGGAGAGAAGAGGGCCUUGGUGGCCCCCAAGACUGCAAGACUACCAAUAGGGUUCCCGUGAACCCAUGCAGGAGCAAGGAGCCAGAACAGCUGAAAAAGGGGAGCCAUUCAGAGACUGGUGAGUCAUCGCAAGUGACUGACGCAGGGCCCGUCCCAUGGGAAGUGUUUGGAGCACGGGUAGUAGGGGAGACAGGUCCACCGGGAGAACACUGGGACACAGCAAAGACAGCCGAUCGCCCCCCAAUCAGCACAGGAACACUCAGAGGAGACUGGUCGGGAAUGCAGAAUUGCAUGGGGUGCAGUUUAAUUAACAGAUUCAGGCCCAGAUCACAGUUUCUACACAACCCAGGUGCACCUGGUCUCAGGAGAGCUGGAAGUACAUAUAAGGUCCACCAUUAAUCCCUGAGCUGCACAAAAAGUCUUCCCUAGGGAAACAGCAGCAAAGCAGCAAUUUAGCUCAACCACACAGCUCAAGUACUGGUUCCCACAGAAAGUUCCCCCAUUUUAGAAGUAAGCAAAGGACAAAAAAUUAUUUCUGGCCCAGACACACCACCAGUGCCUGGGGCCACCAGGGGACCAGAGGCUUGAAGCCAGAGACCGGACCCCCCACCCACAUCCAGGAACAACACCAGCGCCUUGGGACCCACCUGAGGACCCAGUGCAUGGAGCCAGGGACCGGACCCUUACCCCACAACCAGGCACACUAUCAGCACCAAGGAGCAUGCCAAUAACAUCACCUCGAUGUGGGUGGCCCACCACAGCCACCACAGUAACCACAGCUGCCAUGAAAGUGGCUAGACGCUACAACCACUACGCAGAUGGUCCAGCAGCCACUAGAGUGCAUUGACACAAGGAGAGUCACCAGUAGAGACCAAAGAAAAGAAGAGGAUAUUUUUCUCCACAAGCCCAUUCCAGAGUGACAGAAGAAGCAUCUGCUCUAUGAUAAUAUGGGGGACCUGAACACACCUUUCAGCAUUGGACAGAUCAUCUAGGCAACAGAUCAACAGAGUAACCAUUACUCUUUCAGAUGGAGAGAAGAAAUCUAGGGUUAUCAGGGGAGGGAGGGGGGAUAGAGAGAGAUCGGACAGGGGGCAUAAAGAAUAAGUACAAUUUAUAACUAUAUACAUACUAGUAAUAUUGAUUUGAUCAACAUAUGUCAACACUG